UGUUUUGUUUCUGAGGUUGGUAAAAUUUUUGGUUGCUUUUCGUCUCCUCGACUGAUCUGUCUCCCCAGACAGCAUGUGCAGCAGAAGCAGGAGGAAGGGCCCCCUCGAACUUUUCCAUGAUGUGCUCACUGCUGUCUCUUUGGCAGCUCCGCAGAUGCCAUGCUGUUCUCUAGGACGUGGUGUUUGGCUGGAGAACACCCUGGCGAGAAGGGAUGUUGAAAAAUAGCAGUAGCAGCAACAGUAGCAACAGAUGGGGCUAGCAACCUUUCCCUGGCUCAGACCUUGCAGCUGCUACAUUGCCUAGCUUAGGUCUUGAGAUAAAGUUCUCUCAGCCACAAUUUUAAAGGCCUUGAGAGUAAAGCAUUUCAAAGUCUUUAAUACUCUGCAACUUAUUUUGCAAGCUAAAUCCACCAUCUAGCAUAGAAUUUCUCAGGCUCCAAAUACCAUGGGAGCUGGCUGCUUCAGAAGGCAAAGCCUGGCUUGCAGUCCUUCCCGACAGAUACAUCUUGUGUACAAUACAACAGCUCCUGCGAGGAGUACCGGUAGCACCGCACAGCCAGUCUCGUGUUGUCCUGCCUCAUCCAGGUCUGAGGGUUUGUGACAGCUGAUAUCAGGGAGUUCGCGGAGCUCUGGGAGAUGUGGAGAGAAUAAAUUCCAUGGAAUGCA